AAUAGAUACCCGGGUAGUCCACGCCGUAAACGAUGGAUGCUAGCUAUUGGGGGGAAUCGACCCCCUCCGAAGCGAAGCUAACGCGUUAAGCAUCCCGCCUGAGUAGUACGAGCGCAAGCUUAAAACUCAAAGGAAUUGACGGGGACCCGCACAAGCGGUGGAGCGUGUGGUUUAAUUCGAUGGUAAACGAAGAACCUUACCAAGGUUUGACAUCCCGGUAGCCGUUCUCCGAAAGGAGAAUUUCAUUUAGUUGGACCGGUGACAGGUGAUGCAUGGCCGUCGUCAGCUCGUGUCGUGAGAUGUUGGGUUAAGUCCCGCAACGAGCGCAACCCUUAUGAUUUAGUUGGAUUUUUCUAAACAGACUGCCCUGGUAACAGGGAGGAAGGAGGGGAUGAUGUCAGGUCAGUAUUUCCCUUACACCUUGGGCGACACACGCGCUACAAUGGCCGGUACAAUGGGCAGCUAAGCCGCGAGGUGGAGCAAAUUCCAUCAAAGCCCGGUCCCAGUUCGGAUUGCAGGCUGAAACCCGCCUGCAUGAAGCCGGAUCGCUAGUAACC
rnacentral:rRNA from 1 species